rnacentral:rRNA from 1 species
GACGAACGCUGGCGGCAUGCCUAAUACAUGCAAGUCGAGCGGAGUUCUGUUGAAAGCUUGCUUUCAACAGGAUUUAGCGGCGGACGGGUGAGUAACACGUAGGCAACCUGCCCCAUAGCCUGGGAUAACUACCGGAAACGGUAGCUAAUACCGGAUAAUUCCUUUCCCCACCUGGGGAGAGGAUGAAAAGACGGAGCAAUCUGUCGCUGAGGGAUGGGCCUGCGGCGCAUUAGCUAGUUGGUGGGGUAACGGCUCACCAAGGCGACGAUGCGUAGCCGACCUGAGAGGGUGAACGGCCACACUGGGACUGAGACACGGCCCAGACUCCUACGGGAGGCAGCAGUAGGGAAUCUUCCGCAAUGGGCGCAAGCCUGACGGAGCAAUGCCGCGUGAGUGAUGAAGGUUUUCGGAUCGUAAAGCUCUGUUGCCAGGGAAGAACGUCUUAUAGAGUAACUGCUAUAAGAGUGACG